rnacentral:rRNA from 1 species
AACGAACGCUGGCGGCAGGCCUAACACAUGCAAGUCGAACGGGACCUUCGGGUCUAGUGGCGGACGGGUGAGUAACGCGUGGGAACGUGCCCUUUUGUUCGGAAUAGCCCCGGGAAACUGGGAGUAAUACCGGAUAAGCCCUACGGGGGAAAGAUUUAUCGCCAAAGGAUCGGCCCGCGUUGGAUUAGGUAGUUGGUGAGGUAAGGGCUCACCAAGCCGACGAUCCGUAGCUGGUUUGAGAGGAUGAUCAGCCACACUGGGACUGCGACACGGCGGAGACUCCUGCGGGAGGAAGCAGUGGGGAAUCUUAGUCAGUGGGGGAAGCCGUGAACGAGCCAAGCCGCGUGAGCGAUGGAGGCCUUAGGGUUGUAAAGAUCUUUAAGUGGGGAAGAUAAUGACUGUGCCCACAGAAGAAGCCCCGGCUAACUCCGUGCCAGCCGCCGCAGUAA